rnacentral:rRNA from 1 species
AUUGAACGCUGGCGGCAGGCCUAACACAUGCAAGUCGAGCGGCAGCGGGAAAGUAGCUUGCUACUUUUGCCGGCGAGCGGCGGACGGGUGAGUAAUGCCUGGGAAAUUGCCCAGUCGAGGGGGAUAACAGUUGGAAACGACUGCUAAUACCGCAUACGCCCUACGGGGGAAAGCAGGGGACCUUCGGUCCUUGCGCGAUUGGAUAUGCCCAGGUGGGAUUAGCUAGUUGGUGAGGUAAUGGCUCACCAAGGCGACGAUCCCUAGCUGGUCUGAGAGGAUGAUCAGCCACACUGGAACUGAGACACGGUCCAGACUCCUACGGGAGGCAGCAGUGGGGAAUAUUGCACAAUGGGGGAAGCCCUGAUGCAGCCAUGCCGCGUGUGUGAAGAAGGCCUUCGGGUUGUAAAGCACUUUCAGCGAGGAGGAAAGGUUGAUGCCUAAUACGUAUCAACUGUGACGUUACUCGCAGAAGAAGCACCGGCUAACUCCGUGCCAGCCGCCGCGGUAA